rnacentral:rRNA from 1 species
UUCGCAAUGCCCGAAAGGGUGACGAAGCGACGCCGCGUGGGUGAGGAAGGCCCUCGGGUUGUAAAGCCCUGUCAGGAGUUAAGAAAUGUAGACUCGCUAAUAUCGGGUCUAUUUGACAAAGGCUCCAAAGGAAGCCACGGCUAACUCUGUGCCAGCAGCCGCGGUAAUACAGAGGUGGCAAGCGUUGUUCGGAAUUAUUGGGCGUAAAGAGCACGUAGGUGGAUUUGUAAGUCAGAUGUGAAAGCCUUCUGUUCAACGGAAGAAUUGCAUCUGAAACUGCGAGUCUUGAGUGUAGGAGGGGAGAAUGGAACUUCUGGUGGAGCGGUGAAAUGCGUAGAUAUCAGAAGGAACGCCGGCGGCGAAAGCGAUUCUCUGGCCUAUUACUGACACUCAGUGUGCGAAAGCUAGGGGAGCAAACGGGAUUAGAUACCCCGGUAGUCCUAGCCGUAAACGAUGGGCACUAAGUAGAGGAGUUUA